rnacentral:rRNA from 1 species
UACGAAGGUGGCUAGCGUUGUUCGGAUUUACUGGGCGUAAAGGGCGCGUAGGCGGAUUUUUAAGUCAGGGGUGAAAUCCCAAGGCUCAACCUUGGAACUGCCUUUGAUACUGGGAAUCUUGAGUCCGGGAGAGGUGAGUGGAACUGCGAGUGUAGAGGUGAAAUUCGUAGAUAUUCGCAAGAACACCAGUGGCGAAGGCGGCUCACUGGCCCGGAACUGACGCUGAGGCGCGAAAGCGUGGGGAGCAAACAGG